rnacentral:sRNA from 1 species
UGAUUUUAAGAGCAUUCACUUAGGCUUCAACCUAUCAGGUGACAUCUUGGUUUUCAGACAGCCCUUGGAGCUCUAUGGCAGGGGAAGCUAGAGUGUUUGGUGACUCCUUACCGCUCUCUUGUCUUUUUUAAUUUUAGACAACUAGUAACACACUACAUUAUAUUCACAUAGAGCAACUUGACAAGGUAAGAGGAAUCUUUGACUCUUGGCUGGUUUCUUAAUGUUUGGUUCACUUUUUGUUCCUAACUAUAUCUUUUUUUUUAAUAUAGAUUUCAGAAAGCCCUUCUGAAAUCAUGGAAUCUCUUACCAAAAUGUACAGCAUUCCUAAGGAUAAGCAGAUGCUGUUAUUUACACACAUACGACUGGCCCAUGGCUUUUCUAAUCACAGGAAGCGAUUGCAGGCAGUUCAGGCCAGACUGCAUGCAAUAUCUAUAUUAGGUAAGAGAAGAAUACUUUAAUUACCAGGCCAUGUUAGGCAGUUUGGGCCUGAUUUCCUUUGA